GGGCGGUUAGCUCAGCUGGAAGAGCGCGUGACUUACAUUCACGAGGUCACAGGUUCGAGCCCUGUACUGCCCACCA
rnacentral:tRNA from 1 species